GACAGAGGGUGCAAACGUUGCUCGGAAUUACUAGGCGUAAAGCGCGUGUAGGUGGAUUGGUGUGUCAGAUGUGAAAGCCCUGGGCUCAACCCAGGAACUGCACCUGAAACUACCAGUCUUGAGUGGUGGAGAGGGAAGUGGAAUUCCUGGUGUAGAGGUGAAAUUCGUAGAUAUCAGGAGGAACACCAGUGGCGAAGGCGGCUUCCUGGACACUAACUGACGCUGAGACGCGAAAGCGUGGGGAGCAAACAGG
rnacentral:rRNA from 1 species